CCUAUGACGCCUUCGACGCCGGACGGUUGCCCAUAUUCUCCAGCAGCGCUAGCUACCUACCGUGAGAAAUAACCCAAAUCCCGGACCUGCAAUGCUCGGCAACACCCCGAGCAGGAUCGACUACAAGGUUAGGUCAAGCCUUGGGCCGACAUCAUCGUCGCCGGCUGCCACAUUCUCAGAAUCCGCUCAAGGAAGCGAACAGAAGGAAGAAUUAGAAGUUAGGGCGAAAUCAUUGAAGGAUAGUUGAUCCAUUGGCGUUCCACUGUCUUUUAAGGAACGGUUAAAUGUUGGGCCCAUUGGCAACGCAGCCCAUUCAUUACAAUUUACAAGGAACGAAGAUGACGGCGGGACCAUUAAAAGUGACUCUUGAUUUACCAAUGUUCGCUUGUCCUUGACGGCGGAAGGUGCUGGAGGAGGAGGAGGAGGUGACGGUCAAGGGAGGGGGAGCUUGACCUCCACAUCUCCCUCCUACCGUUUUCGUCCGAUCUCGUUCCAUUCCGAGCAUGGAUGCGCCGAAGCUCCCGAUCCGCCCUUCCUCCGCCCGUUUCUUCCCGUUCAUAUCCAGGAGUCCAUCAUCCACCCAUAAUCCCUACCGACGAUGCAUUUGGAUCUCUGUUUCUUUCUUAUCUCUCGCCUUUCUUCUCCUUUACAUCGUCGUCUCCUCCCGUAGCUCGACUUCUGCUCGAUUUGGGAUUGUUAUCGACGGCGGGAGCUCUGGCACUCGGAUCCACAUAUUCUCCUCUAAGGGAAUCAUGGGUGGCUUUCCUUUGCUCGAUUUGAAGUCGAUGGCGGUGAUGCGGAAGACGCCCGGGCUGUCAUCUUACUUAGGGGACCCGGAGCUCUCCGGGGAGUCCUUGGUGGAGCUGUUGGAGUUCGCUAAGGAGAAAGUGCCGAACGACUGGCACAAGGUCACGGAAGUUAGGCUAAUGGCAACAGCGGGCUUGAGAAUGGUCGAAGUGGGACUGAGGGAAAGAAUUUUGGAGUCUUGCCGGAGGGUCCUGAGAUUGUCAGGCUUUCAAUUCAAAGACGAUUGGGCGACUGUGAUACCGGGUUCUGAUGAAGGUGUGUAUGCUUGGGUUGCUGCAAAUUAUGCACUUGGAAGUUUGGGAAGUGAUCCUGAGAACACGACUGGGAUACUUGAGCUUGGUGGAGCAUCAGCACAGGUAACUGUGGUUCACUGCUGAUUUUUAUCUUUAGGUGACGUUUGUUUCAAAUGAAGCAUUGUCCCCUGAAUUUUCUCAUGUGCUGACACUCGGGAAUACCACAUAUAAACUCUAUAGUAAUAGCUUUCUCCAUUUUGGCCAGAAUGUUGCCCGUGAGUCUCUUCAAAAAUUGCUCAACUCAAGUGACCUAAAAUCAUAUGAAGAGUCAGAUCAAGAGAGAACUAAUAUUGAUCCUUGUUCUCCUAAUGAAUUUUCUCACGGGGGUAACUUCUCGAAGUGUAGGUCUGCAGCAUUAACUCUACUUCAGAAGGAAAAAGCAUACAUUGUGUUCUCCAGACAAUUGCCUGUACCAGCAGUGCCACUUGGGAUCAAGUUUCUUACCAAAGGUUCAAGGGGAAUUUAUAGCAACUGAGAAUUUCUAUUAUACUUCAAAGUUCUUUGGCCUGAAUCCAAGGUCAUCACUGUCUGAUUUAAUACUGGCUGGACGAGAGUUUUGUGAAGAAGAUUGGUCAAAGAAUAAGCAGAAAUAUCCUUCUGCAACUGAAGAUCUGUCUCGAUAUUGCUUCUCAGCAGCCUAUAUUGUGGCCCUCCUACAUGAUAGUUUUGGCAUCCCUUUGGAUGACAGGAGGAUCGAGUAUGCAAAUCAGGCGGGAGGCAUCCAAAUUGAAUGGGCUUUGGGAGCCUACCUUACGCAGGCUACAAACAGUUUAGAGAAGAAUUGGACAAAGCCUGUACUGCCUGAUAACAUCAUGCUAUUGUUUCUUGUGACAUCCACUUUGCUGGCUUUUGCUGCUUGGUUGGGGUAUAAAUGGAAGCAACCCGGACUAAAAACUAUAUAUGACUUGGAGAAAGGUCGCUACAUCACUACACGUGUCAGCUAAUAAUCUAUACUUUUCCUGGAGAUACCAAAUGCUCGUGGUCUACAAGUUUAAAUGUUAACCUUGCAACCUUGACACCUCCUUCAGGGGGGUAACCAAAGGGUUGGACUGGUGUACAUAAUUCUUGCAUAUCCAUUCAGAGGAGAAUUGCGCUGUUAUUACUCGAUGGUCCAUUCUUUGAGCACUAAAAGGUUUUAGUUUCAUGUUAAAUGAUCAGUUUUGAAAGGUGGUGCAUUUUGUAGAUGUAGCUUGUUAUUCUGCAUAUAAACUAAUAAACUGAGAUUCCAAUUUCUUGUGUAUGGAUAUCACUGAAUUUUAAAGGGUUAUUAUGUACA